UGGGGAAUAUUGCACAAUGGGCGCAAGCCUGAUGCAGCCAUGCCGCGUGUAUGAAGAAGGCCUUCGGGUUGUAAAGUACUUUCAGCGAGGAGGAAGGCGUUGUGGUUAAUAACCGCAGCGAUUGACGUUACUCGCAGAAGAAGCACCGGCUAACUCCGUGCCAGCAGCCGCGGUAAUACGGAGGGUGCAAGCGUUAAUCGGAAUUACUGCGCGUAAAGCGCACGCAGGCGGUCUGUCAAGUCGGAUGUGAAAUCCCCGGGCUCAACCUGGGAACUGCAUCCGAAACUGGCAGGCUAGAGUCUUGUAGAGGGGGGUAGAAUUCCAGGUGUAGCGGUGAAAUGCGUAGAGAUCUGGAGGAAUACCGGUGGCGAAGGCGGCCCCCUGGACAAAGACUGACGCUCAGGUGCGAAAGCGUGGGGAGCAAACA
rnacentral:rRNA from 1 species